CUAACCUACGGGGGGCAGCAGUGAGGAAUAUUGGUCAAUGGCCGAGAGGCUGAACCAGCCAAGUCGCGUGAGGGAUGACGGCCCUACGGGUUGUAAACCUCUUUUGUCGGGGAGCAAGACCCGCCUCGUGCAGGCGGAGCGAGAGUACCCGAAGAAAAAGCAUCGGCUAACUCCGUGCCAGCAGCCGCGGUAAUACGGAGGAUGCGAGCGUUAUCCGGAUUUAUUGGGCGUAAAGCGAGUGCAGGCGGUUCCAUAAGUCUCAUGUGAAAACCUU
rnacentral:rRNA from 1 species